GGACGGAGGAAGGAGGAAUGGUUUGUGCUAGUAAAUCGGAUGCCGCUACUCUCCGCUAGGCAUGGAGGAGAAAUCUGAUUUAUUUCGCAUUUCAAAAAGACACCAAGAAGACGCUCACCAUCUCUUUCCCAAACCUGUCAUCCCCUCUUUAAAAGCAGGCAAACCUGCAUUCUGUGUCCAGGCACACAAGAGGGAGGGAGCCCCAGCUGACAAAGCGUCAAGGCGAGUUAAGCAGCAGAGCGAAAAGAGGGUAAGUAGCUCCCAUUUAUUCCAUUAUUUAAUUGAAGUA